CACAGAAUCCCAAGCAGGCUCCAGGCUCUGAGCCACCAGCACAGAGUCUGACGCGGGGAUCAAACCCCUGAACCGCAAGAUCAUGACCUGAGCUGAAGUCAGAUGCUUAACCAAUUGAGACAUCCAGUCACCCCACAUGCUAGUACUUUCUUCAAUAUAUUUUUUCCAAGUAUUUCCAGUUUUGUGGGUUGUCUUUUCACUUUCCUGACAAUGUCCUAUGGUAUAAAAGUUUAUGUUUGAUGGAAGUCCAAUUUAUUUUCUUUUCGUGAUUUUAAUUUCAGUGUUAUACCUAAGAAUCAACUGCCAAAUUAAGGGUCAGGAAAAUUUAACUAUAUUUUCUAUUAAAGUUUUUAUAGUGUUAGCUCAACAUUUAGCUUUUCAUUGAUUUUGAGUUCAUUUUUGUAAAGGGUAUGAAGUAAAGGUCCAACUACAUUCUUUUCUAAGUUGCUCUCCAGUUGUUGAAGGACCAUCUGUUGAAGAGAUUAUUCUUUCAUAAUUGAAUCAUCUUGGCAACCUUCUAAAAAUCAAUUAGCCAUAGAUGUAUGGGAGUAUUUCUGGACUCUCUUUUCUAUUCCAUUGGCUGAUAUGUCUAUCCUUAUAAAAAUACCACAUUGUUUAGAUUACUAUAACUUUGUUGUAAGGUUUGAAAAAAGGAAGUGUCCAUCAUCUAGAUUGUGUUUCUCAAGAUUGUUUAGGCUAUCCAGGGCCCUUUGUAAUUCUGUAUCUAUUUUAGGAUCAGCUUUUCCAUUUCUAUAAAAAUGACAGUUGAGAUUUUGAUAAGGAUUGCAUUCAAUCUGUAUAUCACUUUAAGGGCUGACAACAUGCUAAAAUAUGCUUUCCAGUAAAUGAACGCCGGAUGCCUUUCCAUUUGUUUAGGUUUUCUUUCAUUUCUCUCAGUGAAGUUUUAUAGACUUAAAUUUACAAGCCUCCCACCUACUUAAAUAAAUGUACCCUAUUUUAUUCUUUAUGCUAAUAUUAUAGAUGGAAUUGUUUCCUUAUUUUCCCUUUUGCAUUGUACAUAGCUACUGUAUAAAAAUACAACUGACUUUUGUGUAUUUUGCAAAUGUUCUGAAACCUUGCUGAAUUUCUUACAAGCUCUACUGGUUUUUCACGCAGAUUCUUUAGGACUUCCUACAUGUAAGAUCACGUCAUCUGAGAUUAAGACAGCUUUACUUCAUCCAUUCCAAUUUCAGUGUAUUUUAUUCUUUUUCUUGCCUGACUGCUCUGGCUAGAACUUGUAGCACAAAGCUAAAUACGAGUGGCAUCAUAGUUUUAUUUGUGAUAACAAAGGGAAGACAGACUUUUCACACAAUCACAUUUAAGAUUCUAUCAUCAAAUCCAAGGUCAUGAAGAUUUAUUCCUAUUUUCUACUGAAAGUUAUAGAGAUUUAACUCUUGUAUUUGGGAUGCUGAUACAUUUUGAGUUAAUUCCGUAGAAGGUGGAAGGUAGGAGUCCAUCUUCAUUUCUUUGCAUGUGGAAAUCCAGCUGUCCAAGCACUAUUUGUUGAAGGGACUGUUCAUUCCUGUAAAUCAUCUUGGGACCCUCAUCAAUAAUCAACUGGGUACAGAUGUAUGGAUUUAUUUCUGGAACCUCAAUUCUAUUCCAGAUUCUAUUAAGCUUUGAAAUAAAAACUUGAGUCCUUCGACUUUAUUCUUUUUCAAGAUUGAUUUGGGUAUUCAGAAACCCUAGCAAUUUUAUAUGAAUUUCUGGAUUAGCUUUUUCACUUCUGCAUAAAAUGCUGUUCAGAUUUUGAAAGAGAUUGCAUUGAAUGUGUAGAUCACUAUGGGUUGCACCAACAUCUUAAGAACAUUGUAUUACAUUACAUGAACACAGGAUGUUUUGCCAUUUAUUUACAUGUUCUCUAAUGUAUUCCAGCAAAGUUUUGCAGUUUUCACUGAACAUGUAUUUUACCUCUCAGGUUAAAUUUAUCCCUAGGUAUUUUCUUUUGUAUGCAUGGAAUUAUGUUAAUUUUUCACACUGUAAUUAGCUAUAGAAAUGCAAUUAAUUUUAUGUGAUUUUUAACCCUUUAACUUUCCUGAUUCUGUUAUUAUGUCUGAAACUGUGCCCGUAGGGUUAAUGAGGUUCAAACUAGCAGAAAAUUUAAAACUUGUGUUUCAGAGAACUGUUUCCCCCUAAUCAGCCAUUGUAUCUUUUCAGAACCCACCAAUAAAUCCACUAGCUGUCUCUGCAGAAGCCUGGACUCAAGGUCAACUAAUAUGGUUCCAGCCUAUGAAGAAGCAAAGUUCCAUUCAGUUUAUGCCAGUUCUGAGAGCAUGCAAGUAGCUCCUUCUUCUUGUCCUAAAAUAACCUCCUGACAUCAGGGACUGAAUUUUGCCUCAUUUUGAUGUUAACUUUCCACCCCAAAGUGAACAAGGAAUGUAUUUACAUGUAUGUUUGCUCAAUGAGCAUGUUCCACCUUUCCUCAUGAAUAGUCACAAGUUUCCCCACUCUUUUCUUCAAUAUGUAUGUAAUCUCAACUCCUAUGGUUAUAAAAAACUUGUUCUCUCCACCUUUGCGGAGUUGGAUUUGAGGCUUGCCCUCCUGUCUCGUUUGGCUGCCUCUCAAAUAAAUCCUUUCCUUACUGCAUACUGUUAUUUUAAAAUGCAUAGAUUCAUCUAAACACGAAGCAAAAACUUCUAUAACCAACAAAAUAACUUGUCUACUCUCAUACUUAACCUCAGGAAAACAACUUAUUCUGUGUUACUAUACUUUGCUUUUACCAAAACAUCAUCUGUAUAUAGGAAUUUUGAAUAUGGAUUCUUUCACCUACCAAAACCCAUUUGAAAUUCAUCUAUAUUGCUCAUGUAUCAAUAGUUCAUUCUGCAUUAUUGUUUAGUUUUAUAUUAUAUGGAUGUAGCACAUUUUAUUCAUCCAAUACUCUAUUUGAGGGUUUUUUCCAGUUUGGGCUGACAAAAAAAAAAAAAAGCUACUAUGUUUUGAUGGUGCACAACAUUAAUGCACAGUUCUAUGUUAGAACACAGAUUAUUAUUUCAACUUGGAUAAAUACCUUUAAGAGUAACUGCUUGGCCAUAUAAUAGAUGUACAUUUAAUUUUAUAAGAAACUGACAAACUGCUUUUACAAAGUACCUGUCUCAUUUGAUAAGCAAUGCAUAGGAAUUCCGUUUAUUCUGUAUCUUUAGCAGCACUUUAAAAUGUUGGUUUUUCUUAUUCAGCCAUUCAAGAUGUUUAGUGACGUCAUGGUGAUUUUAAUCACCAUUUCCUUAAUGACAAAUGGAUGCUAUUUUUCUAUUUGCUUGUGUAUUAAUAAAAAAUAUAUUUCCAUCUUUUGUA